rnacentral:rRNA from 1 species
CCUACGGGAGGCAGCAGUGAGGAAUAUUGGUCAAUGGGCGCGAGCCUGAACCAGCCAAGUAGCGUGAAGGAUGACUGCCCUACGGGUUGUAAACUUCUUUUAUAAAGGAAUAAAGUGAGGCACGUGUGCCUUUUUGUAUGUACUUUAUGAAGAAGGAUCGGCUAACUCCGUGCCAGCAGACGCGGUAAUACGGGGGAUCCGAGCGUUAUCCGGAUUUAUUGGGUUUAAGGGGUGCGCAGGCGGAGGGACAAGUCAGCGGUAAAAUCCCGGGGCUCAACCCCGCUCCGCCGUUGAAACGGUGGUCCUUGAGUGGGCGAAUGGUAGGCGGAAUGCGUGGUGUAGCGGUGAAAUGCAUAGAUAUCACGCAGAACUCCGAUCGCGAAGGCAGCCUACCGGCGCGCAACUGACGCUGAUGCACGAAAGCGUGGGUAUCGAACAGGAUUAGAGACCCCAGUAGUC